UACGUAGGGGGCAAGCGUUGUCCGGAUUUAUUGGGCGUAAAGCGCGUGUAGGUGGCCUCAUAAGUCCGCUGUGAAAGUCCAAGGCUCAACCUUGGAAAGCCGGUGGAUACUGUGAGGCUAGAGUACGGAAGAGGCGAGUGGAAUUCCUGGUGUAGCGGUGGAAUGCGCAGAUAUCAGGAGGAACACCAAUAGCGAAGGCAGCUCGCUGGGACGUUACUGACACUGAGGCGCGAAAGCGUGGGGAGCGAACAGG
rnacentral:rRNA from 1 species